AUAUAUAUCAACCUUUGGUUGGAUGUGGGUUUGCUGGCCUCUUAAGGUCAGCUCCCCUUAAAUGCAUUAGCGGACAAUAUAUUGCCAACUGUUCAUUGGUGUGAUAAUUUAUCUACACUAUUAACCUGACGCAAUGUUCAGCUUCUAACGGUCCAUUGACUUGGACAAAUUUAUUUUAUUA
rnacentral:misc_RNA from 1 species